UACGGAGGGUGCAAGCGUUACCCGGAAUCACUGGGCGUAAAGGGCGUGUAGGCGGGAUGUUAAGUCUGACUUUAAAGACUGUGGCUCAACCACAGCAGUGGGCUGGAUACUGGCAUUCUAGAGUGCGGGAGAGGAGAGUGGAAUUCCUGGUGUAGCGGUGAAAUGCGCAGAUAUCAGGAAGAACACCCGUGGCGAAGGCGGCUCUCUGGAACGCAACUGACGCUGAGACGCGAAAGCGUGGGGAGCAAACAGG
rnacentral:rRNA from 1 species